GGUCAAUGAUGAAUAGUAAAAGGUCUGAUUGCCCCGAGAUGUCUCUGCCCACCCUCACGAUUCCCAGCUGCCUCUUUUCUGUCAGGCUCUAGUUGUGCCGUGACUCCCCAGAGGCCUGCUGACAUCAUGGGACAUCUCACGUACAUGCGUGUGUUCAUUCAAAUUUCAGCGAAUACAUCAUUGUGGUUGGUGUCCAACAGUGGGUGUCAGCGAGGAAUCAGGGCUGGUGGGAGCACAUCUCCUAUGGGUCUGAUCUGAAACCUGCAAACUGAGGCC
ensembl:scaRNA SCARNA6 small Cajal body-specific RNA 6